rnacentral:tRNA from 1 species
GGGGGCGGAUCGGGCCUGGUGGCUCGACUGGUCUUCAAAACCAGCUAGGCGGCUCAAAAACCGCUUGGUGGGUUCGAUUCCCACACGUCCCCGCCA